ensembl:lncRNA novel transcript
GCAGACUCAGCGGGAGGAUUUGGAAUCGGAGCUGGAGUGUGGGGACGCCGGACAGAUACCAGGGUAUCUACGCACCCGGGAGAAGGGCCCAGAACGAGCGGGUGCUGGGACAGUCAGGAGCAGCCCUGGGAGGCGAGGUCACAGACGGGGUAACAAUGAGGGCCCUGAGCACUCUGCUCUUCCCUGGAUGGGGUCUGGGUUCCACGAAGCUGCCUAUCCCAGGCCUCUGCAGCAGCUGCACGGGCAGAGCUGCCUCCCUCCAGCAAGGAGUAGGCGGGCACCACGUGGGCCCUGGGCACCCUCCGCAGGGGCUCCAGCUCCCACAAGGGGCUGCCCCAUGGGCUCUGAGGAGCUACAGGCUCCUUCCCAGAAAGAAGCCCAGGAGUCAGCAGCUAAUCCUCCCUCUUCCUCUGGAGCCCCCAGGGAAGGCAGGAGCCAGUGUGCCCCUCCAUGACCCCAUGCCCUAUAGGGACUCCUGUGGGGAAGGAAUCUGGCCUCAUCUACAGCUCCACAAGCCCCAGGGUGCAUCUGAGCUGGGACCAGCCCCUCUGAGGGGCUCACCCUGAGCACCUUCCUUGGCAAGGCAAGUGUUUGGGACGCAUCCUUCUGGGGAAACAGUGCUAUGCUCUUCUCUGUUUCUCUGAAGAUUUGAACUGAGGCCGGUUGCUCUGCCUGUGGGUAUGAUGCUUCGGACAGCACCUGGCUCUGAGGACAGAGGCCCUGGACCCAAGCCACGCGGGCCCACCUUCUCCUGAAGAUCUGGGCUAACUGGGAAGCAAAAAUAAUUACUCUUGUGCCAAAAUGUCCUUGUAAUUAGCAGUUCUGGAAGAUAAAUUGAAAUAUGUGAUUUUUCAGGGUCCA